AACCAAAGCGUUGAGUUCAGUUCAGGGUGCUCACCUUGUUCUGGUAAUUAAGCUUUGGGACACUGAGUGACUGGGAAGUGCACCAUGGUGGCUGAAAGGUUUGUUUUAUGCCACCUCUGAUUCUCAGCCUACAAAC
rnacentral:snoRNA from 1 species